rnacentral:rRNA from 1 species
CGCCUUUGGAAAAUGAAUAUCAAAAGGUCCUACCUGCCCGGUGAUGUUAACAUUUAACGGCUGCGGUACUCUGACCGUGCAAAGGUAGCAUAAUCAUUAGCUUGUUAAUUGCAGGCUGGAAUCAACGGUAAGACGAAGAAAUAACUGUCUCUUUCUAUUACUCCUUAAAUUUUCUUUUUGGUGAAGAGACCAAGAUAAUGUAGUGGGACGAGAAGACCCUAUUGAGUUUUAAUUAUUUAAGAAAAAAAUUAGAUUUUUUUUUAAAUAGUUUUGGUUGGGGCAACUGUUUUUCUAAUUAAACAAAAAAAAAUUUUUUAUGAUUUAAAUCUAUAAAGGUAACCCAAAAGAUUAUUUUGAAAAUGAAAAAAAUUACCAUAGGGAUAACAGCGUUAUUCUUUUUGAGAGUACUUAUUGACAAAAGAGUUUGCGACCUCGAUGUUGGAUCAAGUUUUCCUGAAGGUGCAGCAGCUUUCAAAGGUUGGUUUGUUCAACCAUAAAAAUCUUACG